GUCCCUGUAGCUUAAUGGAUAGAGCACUGGCCUCCGAAGCCGGUGAUGCGGGUCCGAUUCCCACCAGGGACG
rnacentral:tRNA from 1 species